UAGGGAAUAUUAGAAAUGGACGAAAGUCUGAUCUAGCAACACCGCGUGUGCGAAGAAGGCCUUCGGGUCGUAAAGCACUUUUUGGAAGGAAUAGGAAGGAAUGUACUUCCAGAAUAAGUCUCGGCUAACUACGUGCCAGCAGCCGCGGUAACACGUAGGAGGCGAACGUUAUCCGGAUUUACUGGGCGUAAAGCGCGUGUAGGUGGUACUGUAAGUAGGGCGUGAAAGCUCCUGGCUCAACUGGGAGAGGCCGUUCUAAACUACAGAACUAGAGGAUGGUAGAGGGAGGUGGAAUUCCAGGUGUAGCGGUGGAAUGCGCAGAUAUCUGGAGGAACACCGGUGGCGAAGGCGGCCUCCUGGACCAUUCCUGACACUCAGACGCGAAGGCUAGGGCAGCAAACGG
rnacentral:rRNA from 1 species